rnacentral:rRNA from 1 species
GACGUAGGGCGCGAGCGUUGUCCGGAUUUAUUGGGCGUAAAGAGCUCGUAGGCGGCUUGUCGCGUCGACUGUGAAAUCCCGCGGCUCAACCGCGGGUCUGCAGUCGAUACGGGCAGGCUAGAGUUCGGUAGGGGAGACUGGAAUUCCUGGUGUAGCGGUGAAAUGCGCAGAUAUCAGGAGGAACACCGAUGGCGAAGGCAGGUCUCUGGGCCGAUACUGACGCUGAGGAGCGAAAGCGUGGGUAGCAAACAGG